UACGUAGGGGGCAAGCGUUGUCCGGAUUUAUUGGGCGUAAAGCGCGCGUAGGCGGCAAGGUAUGUCGUGCGUGAAAUCUCCCGGCUUAACUGGGAGGGCCGUGCGAAACUGCCUGGCUUGAGGUCGGAAGGGGAAAGUGGAAUUCCGGAUGUAGUGGUGGAAUACGUAGAUAUCCGGAGGAACACCAGCGGCGAAGGCGGCUUCUGGUCCGAUUCUGACGCUGAGGCGCGAAAGCGUGGGGAGCGAGUCCGG
rnacentral:rRNA from 1 species